rnacentral:rRNA from 1 species
CGAACGCUUCUUUCCUCCCGAGUGCUUGCACUCAACUGGAAAGAGGAGUGGCGGACGGGUGAGUAACACGUGGGUAACCUACCCAUCAGAGGGGGAUAACACUUGGAAACAGGUGCUAAUACCGCAUAACAGUUUAUGCCGCAUGGCAUAAGAGUGAAAGGCGCUUUCGGGUGUCGCUGAUGGAUGGACCCGCGGUGCAUUAGCCAGUUGGUGAGGUAACGGCUCACCAAGGCCACGAUGCAUAGCCGACCUGAGAGGGUGAUCGGCCACACUGGGACUGAGACACGGCCCAGACUCCUACGGGAGGCAGCAGUAGGGAAUCUUCGGCAAUGGACGAAAGUCUGACCGAGCAACGCCGCGUGAGUGAAGAAGGUUUUCGGAUCGUAAAACUCUGUUGUUAGAGAAGAACAAGGACGUUAGUAACUGAACGUCCCCUGACGGUAUCUAACCAGAAAGCCACGGCUAACUACGUGCCAGCAGCCGCGGUAAUACGUAGGUGGCAAGCGUUGUCCGGAUUUAUUGGGCGUAAAGCGAGCGCAGGCGGUUUCUUAAGUCUGAUGUGAAAGCCCCCGGCUCAACCGGGGAGGGUCAUUGGAAACUGGGAGACUUGAGUGCAGAAGAGGAGAGUGGAAUUCCAUGUGUAGCGGUGAAAUGCGUAGAUAUAUGGAGGAACACCAGUGGCGAAGGCGGCUCUCUG